UGUCAGUAGUGAAGGACUUCCUCGCUGUCUCCAACGUCUGCGUCUCUCCUGCGUUUUCACGCACGUCCGUGCAUGUGCAUAAAUGCCAUGGAAACCGCUGACGCGGAAUGGGUCGUCAUUUGCCCCAGGGCCUUGUGAAGCUCUGGAGUCGCUUCAAGCGUUGGAGAAACCGGAGGAUCCAGCCGGAGCAGCCGGUGGGCGAAGGUGGUCCAGAUGGGCCUAACGGCGUCCACGUCCAUCCUUCACCCACUCCUCAGGUGGGUGACUCAUACACACCCCAUCCACCUUCUCCUCCACGCUCUCUUAUUUUUUGGUCUGCUGGUCCUUCUGUUUCUCCUUCACCCCCUCCUGUUCCUUGUUGCUUUGAUGUUCUUGCUUUUUCUCCUUCACCCUGUCCUACUCCUUCUUUUUCUUCUUCUUCCUCACUCUCUUCUGCUUCCUCUGGUACUUGGUGCUCUGACAUCUUUCCCUUUUCUCCAUACCCUUCUCCUACUCCUUCUUUUUCUUCUUCUUCUUCCUCACUCUCUUCUGCUCACUGCUUCUCUUUGCUCUGACAUCUCUCCCUUUUCUUCUUCCUCGCCCUCCUCUGCUUACUCUGGUACUUGUUGCUCUGCUGUCCUUCAUUUUUCUUCUUCACCCUCUCCUCUUCCUAGUUGGUCUGCUGUCUUCCCUUUUCUCCUUCACCCUCUCCUACUCCUUCUUCUUCUUCCUCACCCUCUUCUGCUUACUCUUGUCUUUGUUGCUCUGAUGCCCUUCCUUUGUCUCCUUUACCCUCUCCUGUGACGGAGAGAGUGAAGGAGCUCAUCCAGCAGCUCAUCUUCCAGGAGAGGUAAGGAAGACAGAGAUGAGGAGGGGGCUGCUCUUGGAAGACUCAACUGUGGGACACUGUUUCCUACAGUGAAACCAGUAUUGGAUUUGACCCCAGGGCAACUUUUCUUUAGUUUUAUUUCUAUACCAUAAGUUUAAAUGUUCAUUCCAACUUUGAGAACUAGCCUUUGCGUCUGGCUGGGCAGUUUUCAGGUCCCCGGCAGCGUCUGGCACCUGGGCCAGUUUUUGCUGUUUUUUAUAUUUUAGCAUGGCGGUUGGAUGGACUUUUCUUUCACCCUGAAGGCUGAAUUCAGCGCCUGGCAGGGCCGUCGAUCCCCCCAUGCAAGUUGCCCUAGCGUCUGGCGGGGUAGCUAUUAUGUUUCCUCCACAGCGAUAGAAGGUCAGCUCAGUCACAGUGGCACUGGGGACACAUGUCAUCUCCCACUGAAGCUCCUCGGUGGCAGAUGACUGCAGUGUCAUGUGUUACUGUAUGGAGGAGUGGGUUAA